CUAAGGCUACAAGUGCUGUUUUCUUAUCCAAUAAAGACGAUCACUUUGAUUUUUUGGAUCUAAUCUCUUUUUAUACAUUUUAUUUUGUAUGUUUUAGAAAAAAAUGGUUACUUAGCCUGUGCCGUAAUAGUGGUUUCUUGAGAUGUAUCCCCUUAUGGGUACUGCAGUCUAGAUGCAUUUGCAGCCCGUGUGCCUUUGAUCAGAGAUUUCUCAUAGCGGUGUCCGUUCAACCCGUGCAUGCAUGUUACUCAAUCUUGUGCUCCAUGCUGUUGUAUAUAGCACUGUGCAGGCAAACUGCUCUCACUUCCUUCUCUACCGUAAAGCUACACAGCAGAGAACUCCAAAGCUGAGGGGAAGGACAGCGAGUAUUAGAUCAUGCAUAGGGGGACACAACUCGAAGAACCACAGUUACUGCACAGGGCUGUUUCUAAUCCUGUGACCCAUCAAUCAGACAUGCUUUAAGGCAAAGAAUUCCAAGAUUGGGCUGAAUGAUCUUCCCACCUUCCUGGGAGAGGAGAUUUUGAGGGGCCUGGAGUGUGAUUGCCUCUUCCUGAGUCUUUGAAGUCUCUCAGCCGGUGAUAACACAGACUGCUUAGAUCUCAAGGUUGCAUAUGAUGAAGGCAAAAUGCAACACUUAACAGAGGCAGCAUUGUUUAUACCAGACAGAGUGAUGAUUCCCCUGCACUUUAGGAGGGCACACACAGUCUACACAAUAGCAUAAUUUUCCCAUCGCAAAGAGAGCGCACAUCACCCAUGGGGGCCCC